rnacentral:rRNA from 1 species
GAUGAACGCUAGCGGCAGGCCUAACACAUGCAAGUCGAGGGGUAACGAUGUCUUCGGACAGUCGACGACCGGCGCACGGGUGAGUAUCGCGUUUGUAACCUACCUUUAACUGGAGAAUAGCCCGAAGAAAUUCGGAUUAAUACUCCAUAAUACUAUGAUCUGGCAUCUUUUUAUAGUUAAAGCUCCGGCGGUUAAAGAUGGACAUGCGUAACAUUAGAUAGUUGGUGAGGUAACGGCUCACCAAGUCAACGAUGUUUAGGGGUUCUGAGAGGAUGAUCCCCCACACUGGUACUGAGACACGGACCAGACUCCUACGGGAGGCAGCAGUGAGGAAUAUUGGUCAAUGGGCGCAAGCCUGAACCAGCCAUGCCGCGUGAAGGAUGACAGCGCUAUGCGUUGUAAACUUCUUUUGUACAGGAAGAAACACU